rnacentral:rRNA from 1 species
CGACCUCGGAUCAGGCGUGAUUACCCGCUGAACUUAAGCAUAUCACUAAGCGGAGGAAANGAA